UACGUAGGGUGCGAGCGUUGUCCGGAAUUACUGGGCGUAAAGAGCUCGUAGGUGGUUUGUCGCGUUGUUCGUGAAAACCGGGGGCUUAACCCUCGGCGUGCGGGCGAUACGGGCAGACUGGAGUACUGCAGGGGAGACUGGAAUUCCUGGUGUAGCGGUGGAAUGCGCAGAUAUCAGGAGGAACACCAGUGGCGAAGGCGGUUGCCUGGAGCUUUGCUGACGCUGAGGCGCGAAAGCGUGGGGAGCGAUCCGG
rnacentral:rRNA from 1 species